rnacentral:ncRNA from 1 species
AUAAAAUUGAUACUGGAUGGUGGCCAUGGAAGUUGGAAUCCACUAAAGAGUGUGUAACAACUCACCUGCUGAAUCAACUAGCCCUGAAAAUGGAUGACGCUGAA